rnacentral:rRNA from 1 species
UACAGAGGUCUCGAGCGUUAGGCGGAAUCACUGGGCUUAAAGCGUGUGUAGGCGGAUCGUUAAGUACCUUGUGAAAUCCCACGGCUUAACCGUGGAACUGCUUGGUAUACUGGCGGUCUUGAGCCAGCUAGGGCUACCGGAACAAAUGGUGGAGCGGUGAAAUGCGUAGAUAUCAUUUGGAACGCCAAUGGUGAAAACAGGUAGCUGGGGCUGUGCUGACGCUGAGACACGAAAGCCAGGGAGCAAACGGG